UUUAGUGGGUAUAGCGAAGGGGUAACACCUUGCUCCAUCUCGAACCAAGCAGUUAAGCCCUUCUGCGCUGAUGAUACUCCUCCCCCUCGGGAGCGGAAAAGUAGGCCCCCGCUAAAC
rnacentral:rRNA from 1 species